rnacentral:rRNA from 1 species
UACGUAGGCGGCCUAUUAAGUCAGGUGUGGAAGCGUGAGGCUUAACCUCAUUAAGCACUUGAAACUGGAAGGCUUGAGUGAAGGAGAGGAAAGUGGAAUUCCUAGUGUAGCGGUGAAAUGCGUAGAUAUUAGGAGGAAUACCGGUGGCGAAGGCGACUUUCUGGACUUUUACUGACGCUCAGGUACGAAAGCGUGGGGAGCAAACA